rnacentral:lncRNA from 1 species
GGAUAAUUUUUCUAUUCUCCCUGAACAUCUUUUUAUAGCCUUCCUGACCUCCUCCUAUCAAAACCUCUUGCUACCCAUGGAAUACAUCACGUUACAAGACUCUUGGUCGCACUAGAAUUCUCUAUUUCAUGUCCCAAGCGAUGUCUCAGGCGAAACAAGUUUCUGGCUGUUAGAUUGAGUUUAAACGCCCCAAAUCUCACCUAAACAGUCCUAAAUCAAGUCGGAAACCCAUAUCAUCC